rnacentral:rRNA from 1 species
GACGAACGCUGGCGGCGUGCUUAACACAUGCAAGUCGAACGGAAAGGCCCUGCUUUUGUGGGGUGCUCGAGUGGCGAACGGGUGAGUAACACGUGAGUAACCUGCCCUUGACUUUGGGAUAACUUCAGGAAACUGGGGCUAAUACCGGAUAGGAGCUCCUGCUGCAUGGUGGGGGUUGGAAAGUUUCGGCGGUUGGGGAUGGACUCGCGGCUUAUCAGCUUGUUGGUGGGGUAGUGGCUUACCAAGGCUUUGACGGGUAGCCGGCCUGAGAGGGUGACCGGCCACAUUGGGACUGAGAUACGGCCCAGACUCCUACGGGAGGCAGCAGUGGGGAAUAUUGCACAAUGGGCGGAAGCCUGAUGCAGCAACGCCGCGUGCGGGAUGACGGCCUUCGGGUUGUAAACCGCUUUCGCCUGUGACGAAGCGUGAGUGGCGGUAAUGGGUAAAGAAGCACCGGCUAACUACGUGCCAGCAGCCGCGGUGAUACGUAGGGUGCGAGCGUUGUCCGGAUUUAUUGGGCGUAAAGGGCUCGUAGGUGGUUGAUCGCGUCGGAAGUGUAAUCUUGGGGCUUAACCCUGAGCGUGCUUUCGAUACGGGUUGACUUGAGGAAGGUAGGGGAGAAUGGAAUUCCUGGUGGAGCGGUGGAAUGCGCAGAUAUCAGGAGGAACACCAGUGGCGAAGGCGGUUCUCUGGGCCUUUCCUGACGCUGAGGAGCGAAAGCGUGGGGAGCGAACAGGCUUAGAUACCCUGGUAGUCCACGCUGUAAACGGUGGGUACUAGGUGUGGGGUCCAUUCCACGGGUUCCGUGCCGUAGCUAACGCUUUAAGUACCCCGCCUGGGGAGUACGGCCGCAAGGCUAAAACUCAAAGGAAUUGACGGGGCCCCGCACAAGCGGCGGAGCAUGCGGAUUAAUUCGAUGCAACGCGUAGAACCUUACCUGGGUUUGACAUGGAUCGGGAGUGCUCAGAGAUGGGUGUGCCUCUUUUGGGGUCGGUUCACAGGUGGUGCAUGGCUGUCGUCAGCUCGUGUCGUGAGAUGUUGGGUUAAGUCCCGCAACGAGCGCAACCCUUGUUCACUGUUGCCAGCACGUUAUGGUGGGGACUCAGUGGAGACCGCCGGGGUCAACUCGGAGGAAGGUGGGGGUGACGUCAAGUCAUCAUGCCCCUUAUGUCCAGGGCUUCACGCAUGCUACAAUGGCUGGUACAGAGAGUGGCGAGCCUGUGAGGGUGAGCGAAUCUCGGAAAGCCGGUCUCAGUUCGGAUUGGGGUCUGCAACUCGACCUCAUGAAGUCGGAGUCGCUAGUAAUCGCAGAUCAGCAACGCUGCGGUGAAUACGUUCCCGGGGCUUGUACACACCGCCCGCCAAGUCAUGAAAGUUGGUAACACCCGAAGCCGGUGGCCUAACCGUUGUGGGGGAGCCGUCGAAGGUGGGACUGGUGAUUAGGACUAAGUCGUAACAAGGUAGCCGUACCGGAAGG